CUUGGGGAUUCUCCAAUUUUAUCGAGAUUAGGUUAAAGGAAAUGGAAUCUGCUGAGUCUAAAGAAAUAAAUAUAAAAAAUCAAAGAAGAAAAAUAAAUAUCUCCAUCAUUUCAAUGUGUCAGCUAUUUAACUAAGCCCACAAGCGACUGGCAAGGUGUUAUAGUCUCCGCAUCAAAGCUUCUUCCCUACAAAGCAUCAAAGGCACAAUUAUGAGUUAAAGUACAGGAGGCGUCUCAAUUUGUGGAUAACCGGUGAUGGCACCGCAAAGGAAUUCAUUGACGCGGGUCUUAAAGUUCAUCCUUCUACCGAAUUGUUUUAAUCAGAUAUUGUGUGUGUGGCCACUUGUUAAAUUCAUGACCUCUCUUGCAAUUUUUGACCAGAUAUGAAAGUAUUUAGGAAUCAAUAAAGACAAAAAAGGAAAGAAAUAUUUCUCUUAUAUGAUAUCGUGGCUUAUCGAUUUCGU